rnacentral:rRNA from 1 species
UACAGAGGUCUCAAGCGUUGUUCGGAUUCAUUGGGCGUAAAGGGUGCGUAGGCGGCGCGGUAAGUCGGGUGUGAAAUCUUGGAGCUUAACUCCGAAACUGCAUUCGAUACUGCCGUGCUUGAGGACUGGAGAGGAGACUGGAAUUUACGGUGUAGCGGUGAAAUGCGUAGAUAUCGUAAGGAAGACCAGUGGCGAAGGCGGGUCUCUGGACAGUUCCUGACGCUUAGGCCCGAAGGCCAGGGGAGCAAACGGG